rfam:Triticum aestivum genome assembly, contig: Triticum_aestivum_CS42_TGACv1_scaffold_233504_3B
CGUGUACUCCCUCUGUUCGAAAAUACUUGUCAUUGAAAUGGAUGUAUCUAGAUGUAUUUUAGUUCUAGACACAUCCAUUUUGAUGAUAAGUAAUUCCGGACGGAGGGAGUACUUG